rnacentral:rRNA from 1 species
GGAAUAUUGGACAAUGGGCGCAAGCCUGAUCCAGCCAUGCCGCGUGUGUGAAGAAGGCCUUCGGGUUGUAAAGCACUUUCACCGGUGAAGAUAAUGACGGUAACCGGAGAAGAAGCCCCGGCUAACUUCGUGCCAGCAGCCGCGGUAAUACGAAGGGGGCUAGCGUUGUUCGGAAUUACUGGGCGUAAAGCGCACGUAGGCGGACAUUUAAGUCAGGGGUGAAAUCCCGGAGCUCAACUCCGGAACUGCCUUUGAUACUGGGUGUCUCGAGUAUGGAAGAGGUGAGUGGAAUUCCGAGUGUAGAGGUGAAAUUCGUAGAUAUUCGGAGGAACACCAGUGGCGAAGGCGGCUCACUGGUCCAUUACUGACGCUGAGGUGCGAAAGCGUGGGGAGC